GAUGAACGCUGGCGGCGUGCUUAACACAUGCAAGUCGAACGGUAAGGCUCCAGCUUGCUGGGGUACACGAGUGGCGAACGGGUGAGUAACACGUGGGUGACCUGCCCUGCACUUCGGGAUAAGCCUGGGAAACUGGGUCUAAUACCGGAUAGGACCAUGGUGUGGAUACUGUGGUGGAAAGUUUUUUCGGUGUGGGAUGGGCCCGCGGCCUAUCAGCUUGUUGGUGGGGUAAUGGCCUACCAAGGCGGCGACGGGUAGCCGGCCUGAGAGGGUGGACGGCCACAUUGGGACUGAGACACGGCCCAGACUCCUACGGGAGGCAGCAGUGGGGAAUAUUGCACAAUGGGCGGAAGCCUGAUGCAGCGACGCCGCGUGGGGGAUGACGGCCUUCGGGUUGUAAACUCCUUUCACCAUCGACGAAGGGUUUCUGACGGUAGAUGGAGAAGAAGCACCGGCUAACUACGUG
rnacentral:rRNA from 1 species